AUACAUCAGAUUCCUUGGAUAUGGAGCUCAGGAAUGUGCUGAUGUGUUGGGUCGUGAUGGACUUCAUCUGAGUCGUGUUGGUGGUAGACAUUGUAGUCAGCCUGGCAGCUGCUGUUGAACCAGUCAGUGACCAGAAUGUCCAGGCCAGCAAGCAGCCUCUGUACUCGGAAAUAGUCCGUUUGCCAGCAGCUGAAGUUCCAGAUGUUACCUCAGUGCAGCAUAAUGUGAAGUUACCAAGGCGCAAUGUAUUGA